GACGAACGCUGGCGGCGUGCUUAACACAUGCAAGUCGAACGGAAAGGCCCUGCUUUUGUUGGGUGCUCGAGUGGCGAACGGGUGAGUAACACGUGAGUAACCUGCCCUUGACUCUGGGAUAACUUCAGUAAACUGGGGCUAAUACCGGAUAUGAGCUCCUGCUGCAUGGUGGGGGUUGGAAAGUUUCGGCGGUUGGGGAUGGGCUCGCGGCUUAUCAGCUUGUUGGUGGGGUAGUGGCUUACCAAGGCUCUGACGGGUAGCCGGCCUGAGAGGGUGACCGGCCACAUUGGGACUGAGACACGGCCCAGACUCCUACGGGAGGCAGCAGUGGGGAAUAUUGCACAAUGGGCGGAAGCCUGAUGCAGCAACGCCGCGUGCGGGAUGACGGCCUUCGGGUUGUAAACCGCUUUCGCCUGUGACGAAGCGUGAGUGACGGUAAUGGGUAAAGAAGCACCGGCUAACUACGUG
rnacentral:rRNA from 1 species